UACGGAGGGUGCGAGCGUUGUCCGGAAUCACUGGGCUUAAAGGGCGCGUAGGCGGGCUGACAAGUCUGGGGUGAAAUGCCGCGGCUCAACCGUGGAACUGCCUUAGAUACUGUCGGCCUCGAGGAAGGUAGGGGCAUGCGGAACUGUAGGUGGAGCGGUGAAAUGCGUUGAUAUCUACAGGAACUCCGGUGGCGAAAGCGGCGUGCUGGACCUUUUCUGACGCUGAGGCGCGAAAGCUAGGGGAGCAAACGGG
rnacentral:rRNA from 1 species